ensembl:lncRNA novel transcript
GGGAGAACUGGCCCCUAGUGGGAGUUGGGCGCGUCCCUGGAACCUCCCCUCCUCGAGGGCUGGGAGUUAGCGGGAAGAAGAAGAGGCCGCGGGCACCAUGAUUCAGACCCGGAAACUACGCCUCCAGGCAUGGCUAGGAGAAAUGGGCUUCGGAGACCAUGGCCACCCCUCUCCCUGCCUAGGAGCACGCCUGCCCCAGCACCCGGGCCUGAACGCAGCGAGAGCUCCAGAGCCUGCGAGUCCCAGAGUUCCAGUUCCACAUCACAGUCACGCAAAUGUAAGAGAAUGGAGAAUGCAGUCCUUUCUCAGCUGGGCACAAAGUAAUGCUGAGUGAAACAGAAGUUGUUAUUGUGGAAGAGCUUCCAGUCGAUUUUGAAAAAUUCAGAGCAUGGGCAAGACAUAGCAGAAAAAGAAAUUGUGAUUGAUUGGAGUAUUUAUUUUCCUGGCUUCCUCCAUGUGGAGUUGCUAAAGACCGGCUGCAUCUUUCAGCUGCAAUCACAGCUCCUGCCUGGCAGCCUUCUCGGUCUCCAGGUUGUAGGAACCUCUUUGUCUUAUCUUUCAGGCCUGUGGGUGGCAAUAAUGUUCUUUAUUAGUACUAGCCUUAAGAUUUCACCAAUUAUUCCAGCUGUUUACUGGAAACCACAAAAAGCACACUGACUGACAUCGCCACUACGUGUCUUUCUUUUAGGGGCAUAAUAAAGUAGGAAACACAUUUAUUGUCCUCCAGAGAGGGCCUCCAAGUCAACUCCGCAUGUCUGACUUGCCCCAACCAUUUUAUGGAGUGCACUGAAGUGUUUUAAGGUCCUGCUUCCCUUCCAGAACAGCACCUUCCUUAGAGUGACUUCUUAGUGCUCCUCAGGCUCAAAGCCAGACCAUGAAGAUGUCAUAUUUUCCCUAAAACUGAAAGCUCCUUGAAUCAAGGGAACAUGGAUAUUUGACUCAACUGCUCUAGUCUUGUAGCAGACAAGACGCUGCUUCCAGCUACAGAUCUUGAGAAGGCUGCCUCGCACCUAUUUAAAAUAACAUGAAAAUCAGUAGCUCACAUUGCAAAGCCGAAAGAAGGAAAUCCUCCAACUUCAGUCACUUCAGCUGUUCAACCAAAUCCUUAAUACAUAGGGCUCUUUUCAUCUCUCUGUUCAGCUGUCCACUAGAACAGCAGUCCCCAACCAUUUGGCACCAGGGACUGGUUUCAUGGAAGAUAAUUUUUCCAUAGACUGGGGCAGGUUGGGGGGAUGGGUUCAGGAUGAUUCAAGUAAAUUACAUUUAUUGCGCACUUUA